rnacentral:misc_RNA from 1 species
AACGCACCUUGCGCUCCUAGGUCUUCCGAGGAGCAUGCCUGUUUGAGUGCCCAGAACUACCCUCGACCUACACCUUUGUGUGAAGGUCGGAUUUGGAGGUCUGCCAUUAACUUGGCUCUUCCUAAAAGUGUUAGCUUGCUGGUGAUGAACCGCUGUCAGCUUGAUAUUAAUGUCUAUGCUUCAGUCGUUUAUGUGCCUUGGCUUACAAUCGUCUUUGGACAAUGUUUUUCUGAGCUCGGGCCUCAAAUCAGGUAGGACUACCCGCUGAACUUAA